rnacentral:lncRNA from 1 species
UCUCAUUCCAGAGCCUGUGCUGGUAACUGUUACACUUAAAAGCUGCUUGGAUCUGCUAAAUUUCCGUUUCUUGCCAGUGAACAGUGGCUUUUUUUCCUGCCCUGAGCAGUCAUCGUUAAUCCUUCAGGGCAGCUGAGAAGUAUCUUAAUCAGGACCUCUGACCUUGUCAUUCAUUCUUUUACUUACUGUUCAGUUAGCUGCAGGCACCCCAAGGAAUGGAAAUGGAGCUGCCUAGGACUUCAGAGGAGAGACCAAGCCAGAGACACCACCCAAAGACCUCUCGGAAUGUUUUUGUUCCGGGAGUUAUGGUACAAUCAAAUGAAUUCAUCUUCGCAGUGAAACCAAUGGAUGAAAAGGUAUGUGAAGUGCAAACCAUAGUUAUAAGUUUACAAGAUAAACUACUUUUGUUAGGAAUCAGUUGCAGAACUCACUGUUUUCACAUAAUCUUAUAUUGUGGGUAAUUAUACACAGAUAUUAACUUGAUAAAGAUAAUUAGAAGAAUCUAUCAUUGCUGGGGGGGUUCAAUUUAUUUGACUGUGAACUUUUAGGGACUUUGGAUUAGAUUAUUAACUCAUACUGGGUAUUAAUUUGUUGGUAAGUGCCUGAAAUAGUUGCUGAAAUUAAUACAGAGCACGUUUUUACCUUUUCACAAUGAAUCUGUUUGAUUAACAGUACUGUAUUUAUUCAGUUGGGGAUCUUAAAUACCAGAUGCAAAUUUCAAAUAAUCACUUGAACAAUUGAGUUCAAAUAUUUAACAGAUCAGUGCAGAAAAGAUUAAGUGGGAAAUUUACUUUAAAGGACAAAUGAGUGUGUUAGAGACAGAGUAGAGUGAGGAACAGAUAUAUUUUAACUAUUUCGGACCUUCUGAUAUGGAAGACACAUAGGUCACAUGAGGGGCAUGUUUCCAUUUUCGGGAAAUUUUUGAUUCAUUACAAUUUUUAUGAAAUCUUUUCUGGUAUGUUAGAGAAUGGCUCCAACCCUAGCCGUGUGUGAGUAUCACUGAGAAAUCUUAUUAAAAAUACAGAUUCCUGGGCCUCUCAGGAUUCUGAAUCAUAGAUCUGGUUUGGUACUUACACAUCUUUAUUUUUAACAAGCUCCCCAGGUGAUUCUGAUGCAUC